CAGCGGGCCACCCCCACAUCUCUGAAGAUCGGACAGUGGGGAAGGGGGAUCGCGCGCCCCGCGUUGAAGCCCAGGCGGGACCAGGCCCGGCCGCAGUCUCCCAGCAAAACUCCCGUGGCUCACCGCAUCCCGAGGGGAGCUAUUCCAGGCUGAUGGGCUGGGGUCCCGAGGGUCCCAGUCGGUCGUGCUACCCAAGGGCAGCCUGGAGAGGACGGGGUCUGGAGUGCGGUGUCCACCGCUCUGGGCGCCUGCGACCAGGACAAGCACCCAUGGGGAGGGUCCUCCAGGAUACAGAAGGAAGACCUGAUUCCUUCACUGCAAUUGGAAUGUGCUUGGGGCGGGGACCCGAGGAUCCUACAGGGUCGUGGGAGACUGUGUGCUAUCACUGUUCUCCAUCGAUGACCCACUGCGCUGAGUCCAUGUAAAACUAAUCGUCCCUGGACCUGGAUGAGAUUACCAGGGUGGGGACCGUGAACGCAGGCACGCCGGAGAAGCUACUAGAAUAUGUAGUGUCUGCCCUCCAGAGCAGACUCCGUGUCCCCAUCUUCCCAUCUAUCCACUGAAACUUCUCCAGCACCCAACAGGUCACACGCCUGCUGCGGAAAAGAUGGGAAUGGCCACCUGGGAGUACACGAAGCCUGGGCACUCACGCCAAGGCCCACAUCCCCUCCAGCUCCUCUCAGGACGGUCCCGAGCUGCUGGACAAGGACACGGGCACGGCCCGCUCCUCCUGGCAGCUGCUCCCAAACAAGCGGGACGGCCUGCCUGUGGCCCACACUCCUGUCAGUCAGCUCCCUGUGAGCAGGUGCGGUCCUUUUCUGUGCUGUAUCCCCAAGCCUCCAGAAUAGCGCCUGGCAGCAGGAGGUACGUACACAUGCACUGAGCCAGUGUGAUCCCCCACCAGUCCUAUGAGGUGGCUGCUGUCCCCUUACAGAUGAGACCCGAGACACAAAGAAGUCUUGGGGUGACUGGUUCGUUCAUCAUUGCAUUCCUGUGCAGGGCUCCCUGUCAUGUGCAGGCGGCUGCAACACUCAUAAAAACACGAGCCCCAGACACCUUCACAGCCCUCAGAGCUGACAGCUCAGCAGGUGAGACAGGAUCUAACCCACAGGCAGCAGGUGGGGCUACAGAGCCCCAGCCCCUGCUAGCACAAGGCCUACACAACUGGGCUUGGACAGCUCUGGCACCAGCUCAAGUGUUCCCGCCAGCUCUGGUCCUAGCUGCAGACCUAUAGCAACGUCUAUAAGCCAUUCUCUCACCAGUUCUAGAACCAGUGACAGAAUCGGAGUGCCACAGAAGGAGAGCCAAUUCUAGAACCAGCUCCAGCACCAGCUCUGGCACCAGGUCCUAUGCCAGUUCCACAGCCAAGGCCAGUGGUGUCUCUAGCACUCGGGGUGGCACCGCUCCAGGGCCAGAUGCAUCCUGGCGGCCUCACCAGCAUCAGCUCCUGAGGCAGCAGCGGCUCCUAUACCCGGGCUGCCCUUCUCCCCGUGCCUGUAACUUUUAUUUCCUUUUUCUAUUUUAUCUAUUUUACGCUUUACAUUGUAUGUUUCAAAAUUUACACACAGUGAAAAUUUACCUGUUAAUCAUUUUAAAUGGUACUACUCAAUGCCAUUAAGUAAAAUUCAGUGUGCUGUUGCAACCAUCACCACCAUCUAUUUCUAGAAUGCUCCAUCACACCGUACACAUUAAUGCAAACGCCCACCACCUAUCACUCCUCUCUUCCUGGGUGUGGGCCACUGCCACCUCUGCCCACAGGCACCCUGGGACACCCACUCUCCCAGUGGGUCUGACCACUGCAAAGCCAGCCUUUCACUCAGCCACAAAGGCCCCAAAUGAGGGCCCCAGAGAAGAGCCCCGGACCAGCGGCAGCUCCCCUCCAAGUCCGGUGCCCAUCAGAGGCAGCCCAACAUCAGCAGAGGGGCUCGACUGGUGUGUUCCGCGAGCACUCAGCUGGCUCCUCCAGCUCUGGAGUGAAGAAGACCAACAUGAGCUUUUUCCUGCAGUCCUCUGAUGGCCAAGAAAAGGAGUGCCUGCCCCUUGUCUGACAGCACUGCCUGAGCACCUGCCUUCUCAGUGCCACUGUUCUCCAGUCUGCACCCACAAAAGGAGCCAAGAAGCCCCAGGUUCUCGGAGUUCCCAAGGACCCCAAGAUGCACCCCGCCAUGGGGUACCCUGCAAAAUCUGGGACCUCGGUGGACCUUACCACUCCCCUGUGCCAGGAGUGGACCUCCUCGGCCCCCACCAUCGCCAGCUCCAGUUCGGCCUCCAGCAGCAUCUCCUUGUCAGCUUCCACCCUGCCCUGGGCGGCCACACAGCCACAAGCACCACGCCUCCGUGCUGCUCUGCACUCUGCCCGUCAGCCUGGAGCCACUCGGACAGGAGCGCCCUGAUCUGGGCAGGCGGGACAGUCCCCUUGGUGCCCGCUCGGACCUCUCUGGGUGUUGUUCCUUUGACCAGUAGCCAGCUCUGGCCUUCCAGGUAGCACACCCCGUCCUGGGAGGCAGACAAUGACCACAGCCCUCCACUGCACACAAGAGCACACCCAGGCAGAUCUCAUCCCCCGGGGCUCUUGGUGGGGGUGGGUAACAUGUUCGGCUCAGCUCUCCAAGGCUAUGGCUCUAGACUGUUUCCUGCCCAGCCCCAACCCACAGUGCUCCCUGGCUGCCUGGCAUUUAGAGUCCUGUGUGAUCUGGUCCUGAUGAACCCAGUAUGCACCCCUCACCCCCAUUCCAGCCUCCCUAGAGCUUUACUCACUCAGGGGCCCUCACAGCCCCUUGCCUGCUCUGCCCCUCUCUAUAGUCCCUCAUCCAUGAGGGAUUCACCUCCAAGUCUGGGCCCAGGGGCCACCUCCUUGGGCUUCCAUGCAAGCACCACCUUUGGGGUCAGACUGACCUGGGGCCCUGUCACAGCCCUGUGACAGGCAAGCUUCUACCCUGACUUCACAGAGACUCAGUUCAGUGGGGCUCAGUCACUUAGAGCUGAGGGACCUUGAGUGCUGGGGCCACUGCUCAUCUAUAAAAUGGGGUGAACUCAAUCAAUGAGCAUGUGGGGCUUCCUAAUGACAGUACUGCCCCCAACACUCACUCUGCUUUCACUGUGGGGCCACUUCCUCCCAGGGCUCCCUCCUGGCCCCUUCUACACCAGCCUAGGCUGCGGCCAGGGGUCCUGCCUCAGAAAACAGGGAGGGCAUAGAGGAGGAAGGGUAAAAAGCAGCCUGACUUUCUCCCUGCCUAGACUCGGUGUCAACGGCUGUCUCCGGCCCCCUGCCCCAGCCAUGCACGAGCUGGCCCCUAGGAUAGUCUGAGGAGGACAGCUGGACGGUGUAUUCCAUGACUCUAUGUACCCAGGUCUCUGGCCCACCUGGCCGGAGUGGGACAGCAUGGAGGUUCCAGGGGUCAUGGGUUCUCAAGAGCAGUGGCCACCAGGGACGAGUGGUACCGCCUGGCUGGGAGCUGUGGGUGCACAGCGCAUGCAGCGAGGUGACAUCUUGCGCACGUGCUGUCCGUGGCCCUAUGCACGUCCAGCCACCCCCACCCAGAAGCUGGGUCCGUGGUGAGCUGGGCUCACACAGUUCAGUGUCUGACUCCCAUGUGACAAUUGUGAAACUAAGGCCAGGAGAGGCAGGGGUUGGUCCAGGCAGGGAGGUGGGUGGAAUCCAGAGAAGGGAGGGUUCCAGCCUCCUAGGCCAGGGCUCAACCCUCCCAAGAGGUUAUUUUGGGAAUGAGAGCCCCUAAGAUCCUGGGGCUCCCCACACGCACACCCACACACCCCCAUCCCCUCCUAACUAUCCAUCUAUAUGCUGGGUAUGUAGAAAACAUUUUUUGGAGUAGAUGAGAAACAGUGUUACCAGUAGAAAGGAGCAAUUGGGUAGAAGACAAAAUUAAAAACAUUUUGGAUGUUAACAGGUUAUUUUUACUAUAGGGAACCCCCAUAUAACACAGCUGUUAGGUUCCUAACAAAUGCUGUGUUAUGCGAAUCUGUGUUAUACAAAACAAAGAACUAGUACAAAAA